rnacentral:lncRNA from 12 species
UGGAACGUUCUGUGUGUCCGUGACGGGAGUCCUGCCCCACCCUUGGUGCCGGCUCGGAGCUGCGCCUUGCUUGGUACACCCCUGCCCUUCACCCCGCUCCGACACCCUACUAAAUCUGGGGCCAGUUCUGUCUGGCGCUCGCGGCCGCAUCCCCACCAGGCGGCCCCCUGCCCCUCCGCCCCGCAGCCGGAGUGGGGCGCGCCCGGAGGAGCCGGCGCCGCCAGGCUGGAGGGACCCGCGGCGCCGCCCACGCGCCCUGCGAGGCUGCAGGCCCGAGGCUCCCGAGGGGAGGGGAGGGGAGGGGAGGGGAGGGGGAGGUGCGCCGGGGGCCGCGAAGCCACGGCACGCGGGGCCCCACCGCCGGGAGCCCCCGCCGCCCCGGGGAGCCGGAAAGCGGCUCGUUGGGGCCGAGGCCCGCGGCACCCGCGGCGCCAAGGGGCGGGGGCGCGGGCGCGGGCGGGAGGCGGCGGGAAGGCCGAGGAAGUGACGACUGGCAGGGCGCCAUCUUCACGCAAGGGCCGGAGGAGGAGCCGGAGCCGCGAGCGGCCGGGGCGCGGCAGGCGCGGAGGGAGUGCCCCGGCGGACCCGGACGGCCUGGGCUGCGGCGCAGGUCUGGGCGCGCCCGCCGCCCGCACCGGGCCCGGGGGGCUUCGUUAUCCAGAACAUUCGUGGCUCCUAGGUGACCGCUUUCUGAACCACCCGCAGCUGUCAGCCAUGACGUGCCUCGUGAUGAAGACAGCUCUGGUACCUGAUGAAUUUGGAGGUGAGGGAGCUCAGGUGUGCCAGCACCGUGCAAGUUCAAGUUACGCUUUCGGAACAACUCUUACUUUUGGAACAAGGUGCUCACGAAUGAGUAUGAGUGCAGAUCUUCAGGCCCGGUGGUGUCGGUUGCAACUUGCAUCCGAUGGCACAGGGGCCAGGAGCCCCCUGUUCGGAUACCCUGGGACAGUUCUCAGCUUCUUCACCCGGUUCUCCCAGCACAGUGUCCCAGAGGCUGACGAGGUUGCCCAGAUUAUUAGAGGAUCUGUGGCCCAACCCCGUGCAGUACUAUGUGCUGGGGAUAGGCCCCGCAGAGCCGGAGAGGUCUGGCAAGGUGGCCCACAGAGGGCCUCCUAG